GACGAACGCUGGCGGCGUGCCUAACACAUGCAAGUCGAACGGGGUGUUCCUUCGGGAACACUUAGUGGCGAACGGGUGAGUAACGCGUGAGAAACCUGCCUUUCAGUGGGGGACAACAGUUGGAAACGACUGCUAAUACCGCAUAAUGUUAUUUGGGGGCAUCCCCGAAUAACCAAAGAUUUAUUGCUGAAAGAUGGUCUCGCGUCUGAUUAGCUAGUUGGUGAGGUAACGGCUCACCAAGGCGACGAUCAGUAGCCGGUCUGAGAGGAUGAACGGCCACAUUGGGACUGAGAUACGGCCCAGACUCCUACGGGAGGCAGCAGUGGGGAAUAUUGGGCAAUGGGGGAAACCCUGACCCAGCAACGCCGCGUGAAGGAAGAAGGCCUUCGGGUUGUAAACGUUCUUUACCUAGGACGAAGAACGUGACGGUACCUGGAGAAAAAGCAACGGCUAACUACGUAG
rnacentral:rRNA from 1 species